UCUGCUCAAUGAUUUUUUAAAUUGCUGUGGUAUUUUGACUAUACAAAGGUAUUGUAAUAAGACUUUAAUUGAGUGCUAAAAGAAUGGACUUUCAAAAAAAGUCUAUCUUGAAUUCAAAAAUUGAAUUUAUUUUUAUUUGUGAAGAAACAAUAAUUAAAAUUAAUGACAAGAAGACCCUAAGAAUUUUUAAACAUAUUAAAUAAUAUAUUAUUUAAUAUGUUUUUAAUUGGGGCGAUUGAAAAAUAUUAUUAACUUUUUAUUAAAAAGAUCCAUUAUUAAUGAUUUUAUGUAAAAAAUACUCUAGGGAUAACAGCGUA
rnacentral:rRNA from 1 species